rnacentral:rRNA from 1 species
UACGGAGGGUGCAAGCGUUAUCCGGAUUUAUUGGGUUUAAAGGGUCCGUAGGCGGACUUAUAAGUCAGUGGUGAAAGCCUGUCGCUUAACGAUAGAACUGCCAUUGAUACUGUAAGUCUUGAGUAUAUUUGAGGUAGCUGGAAUAAGUAGUGUAGCGGUGAAAUGCAUAGAUAUUACUUAGAACACCAAUUGCGAAGGCAGGUUACCAAGAUAUAACUGACGCUGAGGGACGAAAGCGUGGGCAGCGAACAGG